UGAGGAAUAUUGGUCAAUGGGCGCAAGCCUGAACCAGCCAUCCCGCGUGAAGGAUGAAGGCCCUAUGGGUCGUAAACUUCUUUUAUACACCAAGAAAAAGCAGGACGUGUCCUGCCCCGACGGUAGUGUAUGAAUAAGCAUCGGCUACCUCCGUGCCAGCAGCCGCGGUAAUACGGAGGAUGCGAGUGUUAUCCGGAUUCAUUGGGUUUAAAGGGUGCGUAGGCGGCUUUUUAAGUCAGUGGUGAAAUCUUGCCGCUUAACGGUAAAAUUGCCAUGGAUACUGAUAAGCUUGAGUACAAUUGAGGUAAGCGGAAUGUGUAGUGUAGCGGUGAAAUGCUUAGAUAUUACACAGAACACCGAUUGCGAAGGCAGCUUACUAAACUGUUACUGACGCUGAUGCACGAAAGCGUGGGGAGCGAACA
rnacentral:rRNA from 1 species